UACUAAUGCAACUGCGAAUAGCUGUUUAAUACAGUCGUAAUUGUAUUGACUUAGUAUAAUGUUAAUAAUAGUUAUUUAUAGGAUAACUAAGGGAAAGUUUGGCUAAUACGUUUUAACAGUAUUAUAAUUCUUAAUACACAUAUAAUAAUAUUAUAAUAUGAUAAAUUUUAUAUAAAUAUUUUAAUACAUUUAUUUGUAUUAAUAUAUAGAGUUGACUUUAUAAUAUUUAUUUAUUAUAAAGCAUGUCAAACAAGCAUCUAUAGCAUCAAGUCACAAUGUUGGCAUGUGUAUUAUUGAACCUUCAAAGCAUUUACGCAUUCGGAGGAGUAGUUUCUGAUCCCGUCGAAGGUGCCUGAGAGACGGCACUUAGUUCUAAGGAACGCAGCAGGCGCGUAAAUUGCCCAAUGACAAAACAUGUUAUAAUAAAAUAUAUAAUGUAUAUAUAUUGAAUACUCAAUAUUUAAUUGAGGCAGUGACAAGCUGUAAAGAUUGAAUAUAUUAAUUAAGAUAACAUUUGGAAUUGUCGUUUUAUAAUAUUUUUUAAUAUUAUAUUACUUGAUAAUAUACCAAUGUUAUAAAAUAUUCAAUUUGAAUGCGGUGAAUGUAAUAAUUUCAAGUAACAUGUAUAAAAUAUUUAUAUUUUAUUAGUUAUCUGAAUUUUCAAGUGGAGGGCAAGUCUGGUGCCAGCAGCCGCGGUAAUACCAGCUCCACUAGCUUAUACAAUCAUUGUUGCGGUUAAGAGGCUCGUAGUUGGAUUGAAUAAAACAUAUAUACACAAUACUGUGAACAAACCAGAGUGUAUAAAACAUGUAAUAUAUUAUAUAUUUAGCAAUGAAUGUUUUAUCAUGGAAUAUUGCUAUAAUGAAUAUUAAUAUCGAUGGAGAUAGUUGGAGUUAAGAGUACUGAUAGGCGAGCGGUGAAAUGCAUUGACCCUAUUAAGACUAACAAAAGCGAAAGCACUUAACUAGAUUAUUCUCUUUGUAUUAUUUUACAAUGAAGAGCGAAGGUUGGGGGAACAAAGAGGAUCAGAUACCCUCGUAGUCCUAUUUUUACAUCAAACUAUGGGAUUUCAUUCACACUAAACACUAAACAUUAUAAUUAUAAUUAUGAUUGAGUAUAUGUCAAAAUAUUACUCUCAUAUUAAAUAAUUAUUAUAUAUAUGAUUAUAUGUACUUUGAGCUCAUAUAAUUAUAUAGGUGAGAUGUAAGCAUUAUAAAGUGAAUAAUAUACAAGUAAUAUUGUAUUAUUAUGAUCUUUAAAAUAAAAAAUGUAAUGUGAUGCACGUUUUAGGUACGAGCUUACUAUAGAAAUAUUUAAAAUAAUACCCUCCUGGGGUAGUAUGCACGCAAGUGUGAAACUUGAAGGAAUUGACGGAAGGGCACCACAAGAACGCGUGGAGCAUGUGGCUUAAUUUGACUCAACCCGGGAAAUCUUACCAGGUCCAGACAUAUUGAGGAUUGACAGGCGAUAGUAUAUAAUUCAUUUAUAUGCAUAAAAAUGAUAGUCCUUUCAUGAUUAUAUGAUAGGUGGUGCAUGGCCGUUCUUAGUUCGUGGAGUGAUUUGUCUGCUUAAUUGCGUUUCAGUAAAUAAAAUAUAUAAUAUAUUAUAAUAUUUAGUUCUGCCUUGAAUAUUAUUCAAGGAUUUAAAGUGA
rnacentral:rRNA from 1 species